ACUUUACUCGUUGAACCCAGCUCGUUCCUCUCCUCGUCUUCUCUGCUAUCCCAAGAACAGAACCAGCCACCCACCUCUCUCUCUCUCCCCAAGAAUAGAGCAUGGCCGCCGCCGCCUCGAUCUGCCCCGUCCGGGCAUCUCCGGCGACACGGUCCGGUGGGCUUGCCACCGGCUGCAGCGGCAAUGACAUCUCCAUGCCUACAUCCUCCCCCAGCGCAGCCACACGCACGAGGCGUGUAGCCAUGGGCGUCGGGCGUGUGCGGCUUCACCGGCGCUGCUCGGUCGCAUGGCUCUGCUGCUAACGGUGUGGACUAGCCACAUCCUACUGCUACUACUGCAAGAUAAAUAGAUCAAGGUGAAUAGAUGCUCAUGGACUGAUUCAAACCGAGGUGAAGAUAGACAAGAAGUCAAGCAAGAAGGGCUAACACAACAAGGUACUUGAUUAGUACUUGAUGGCGCAUGCGACCCAAAGGGCUUCACCGCAGUGAAGGACAGCAGUGUGGCAGAAGGUGAAAAGGCAAGUGGUGGUGGUACUCCAGUGUAUGUGUGUGUGUGAGGUGGAAUGGACCACAGUGAAAGGAAUGGCUCCUAUUUAUAGUGGGGUUAGUAGCUAUGUCGGUUUGGAGAGGCAUUACAUCUGGCAUGCAUGCGUGGUUAGGCUUGCAUGCAUGCCUCCACUUGUGUCUCUUGUAGGCUGUACUAGGGACAAGUGUAAUUUGCUUGACUGGCCAUUAGUUGGCAUUUACUUUAUGUGGAAAAAAAAUGAGACCAAGAUCUGAUUAUAAAUUUGUAGAAUACAUGGAGGUUUGGAAAUAUUUUG